UGCGGAGGGUGCAAACGUUGCUCGGAAUCAUUGGGCGUAAAGCGCACGUAGGCGGCUAUGUAAGUCGGGUGUGAAAGCCCUCGGCUCAACCGAGGAAGUGCAUUCGAAACUGCAUGGCUUGAGUAUCGGAGAGGAUAGCGGAAUUCCCGGUGUAGAGGUGAAAUUCGUAGAUAUCGGGAGGAACACCAGUGGCGAAGGCGGCUAUCUGGACGAAUACUGACGCUGAAGUUCGAAAGCGUGGGGAGCAAACAGG
rnacentral:rRNA from 1 species